GAUGAACGCUGGCGGCGUGCCUAAUACAUGCAAGUCGAGCGAACGGACGAGAAGCUUGCUUCUCUGAUGUUAGCGGCGGACGGGUGAGUAACACGUGGAUAACCUACCUAUAAGACUGGGAUAACUUCGGGAAACCGGAGCUAAUACCGGAUAAUAUUUUGAACCGCAUGGUUCAAAAGUGAAAGACGGCCUUGCUGUCACUUAUAGAUGGAUCCGCGCUGCAUUAGCUAGUUGGUAAGGCAACGGCUUACCAAGGCAACGAUGCAUAGCCGACCUGAGAGGGUGAUCGGCCACACUGGAACUGAGACACGGUCCAGACUCCUACGGGAGGCAGCAGUAGGGAAUCUUCCGCAAUGGGCGAAAGCCUGACGGAGCAACGCCGCGUGAGUGAUGAAGGUCUUCGGAUCGUAAAACUCUGUUAUUAGGGAAGAACAUAUGUGUAAGUAACUGUGCACAUCUUGACGGUACCUAAUCAGAAAGCCACGGCUAACUACGUGCCAGCAGCCGCGGUAAUACGUAGGUGGCAAGCGUUAUCCGGAAUUAUUGGGCGUAAAGCGCGCGUAGGCGGUUUUUUAAGUCUGAUGUGAAAGCCCACGGCUCAACCGUGGAGGGUCAUUGGAAACUGGAAAACUUGAGUGCAGAAGAGGAAAGUGGAAUUCCAUGUGUAGCGGUGAAAUGCGCAGAGAUAUGGAGGAACACCAGUGGCGAAGGCGACUUUCUGGUCUGUAACUGACGCUGAUGUGCGAAAGCGUGGGGAUCAAACAGGAUUAGAUACCCUGGUAGUCCACGCCGUAAACGAUGAGUGCUAAGUGUUAGGGGGUUUCCGCCCCUUAGUGCUGCAGCUAACGCAUUAAGCACUCCGCCUGGGGAGUACGACCGCAAGGUUGAAACUCAAAGGAAUUGACGGGGACCCGCACAAGCGGUGGAGCAUGUGGUUUAAUUCGAAGCAACGCGAAGAACCUUACCAAAUCUUGACAUCCUUUGACAACUCUAGAGAUAGAGCUUUCCCCUUCGGGGGACAAAGUGACAGGUGGUGCAUGGUUGUCGUCAGCUCGUGUCGUGAGAUGUUGGGUUAAGUCCCGCAACGAGCGCAACCCUUAAGCUUAGUUGCCAUCAUUAAGUUGGGCACUCUAAGUUGACUGCCGGUGACAAACCGGAGGAAGGUGGGGAUGACGUCAAAUCAUCAUGCCCCUUAUGAUUUGGGCUACACACGUGCUACAAUGGACAAUACAAAGGGCAGCGAAACCGCGAGGUCAAGCAAAUCCCAUAAAGUUGUUCUCAGUUCGGAUCGUAGUCUGCAACUCGACUACAUGAAGCUGGAAUCGCUAGUAAUCGUAGAUCAGCAUGCUACGGUGAAUACGUUCCCGGGUCU
rnacentral:rRNA from 1 species